AGAGUUUGAUCCUGGCUCAGAAUCAACGCUGGCGGCGUGCCUAACACAUGCAAGUCGAACGCGAAAGGGGCUUCGGCCCUGAGUAGAGUGGCGAACGGGUGAGUAACACGUGGGUGAUCUACCUCUGAGUGGGGGAUAACGUUCCGAAAGGAGCGCUAAUACCGCAUGACGUCCUGGGUUUGAAGACCUGGACACCAAAGCCGGGGACCGUAAGGCCUGGCGCUUGGAGAGGAGCCCGCGCCUGAUUAGCUAGUUGGUGAGGUAAUGGCUCACCAAGGCGACGAUCAGUAACCGGCCUGAGAGGGCGGACGGCCACACUGGGACUGAGACACGGCCCAGACUCCUACGGGAGGCAGCAGUGGGGAAUUGUUCGCAAUGGGCGCAAGCCUGACGACGCAACGCCGCGUGGAGGAUGAAGGUCUUCGGAUUGUAAACUCCUGUUGACCGGGAAGAACGGAUCUCGCUUGAAUACAGCGAGGGAGUGACGUACCGGUGAG
rnacentral:rRNA from 1 species